GUCAUCUCCAGAGAGUGGUAAUGAGGGGAGACAGGGAGGAUGAAUUAUCUUUGCUUUUAUUCACGUUUUUAGGUGUUGCUUCACUUGCUCCAACAAAUACGUAUUAAUUCUCUAAUCUGUAAAUGAUCGAGUAAAGAAAAAAAAAUUGUUGAGACUAAAAAGACGUCUGCUGUGCGUGUGACCUGGCCCUGUCACUGCAGCAUGGGUGGAGAUUUGUUAGGCAGCGGAGCGGGCUGUUACCUGAGUCCCUGCUAACUCGGACAGAGGAACCCCUGGAAGUCCCUGACCGUCACACCUGGGCCCCGCAGAGUGCUGGGCUCAUUGGCACGUCACACUUAGAUGACAGGGGUAGCCGUGCCUUCUUGGCAGGCAGGACUCUAGCCAACAGGUAAGACCUUUCCAGGCUGGGAGUAAACAUAGGCCGCCUUUCCAGAUCAGGUGAGCAUCGCCACCUGGCAGGGAGGAGGCACGGAUUCGUUGCAGGAGAAAGAACUUGAGCUUGGGGCAGGAGGAAAAAUGAGAACUUGAGUUCAAGGGCUGCCACUGCCGCCAUGAAAUGAAGUAUCUGACUGGGACUUUUUGCUUUUACAUCAGGGAAAGCUGCUUUAAGGCAAUCCUGUUUCCUAUGUCUUUCAUGUUCCACUGUCCUGUGAUCUGGGGACAGAGUAGGGGAACAAGAUUGAGCUGAUCUCUGACUUUCUGGAGCUACACUGGAGUUGGGGAGAUGGACGGAUGGUACACCAUGGACCGAGCAGAGAGAAAGAUUGCUCCGAAGGAAACCAAAAAGAGUGGGAAGAUCAGGACUGGCCUAUUUUGGAUCCGGAGGUAAUGGGACGUCUUCCUGAGGAGAGGAUGCUUUAAACCGAGUCAGGAAUGAAGAGAAGGGGCCCGCAGGCCCUCAGUGGAUUGGAUGAUGCCUACUGGUGAGGGUGACCUUCUAUACUCAUCUACUGGUUGAAACGCUAGUCUCUUCCAGAAACAUCCUCACAGACACAUCCAGAAGUAAUGUUUUACCAGGCUUCUGUAGAUGUUAACUUAGACUUGCGGCAGGAGACUGGUUUUGUGUGAGUUUGUUUGGGGAAGAAAAUGGAGGUUCCACUAUCUUCUGGGAGUUUUCCGUGGGCACUGACAGCCUGCUCGUGUGCCCAGGGCCGAAAUCUGUUAUUCCAUCUCAAUCCUAGAACCCACGAUCACAGCUCAUCCUGGGUUUAAAGGAGGGCCUAUGAGAUGAGAAGCUUUUUGGACAUAUGACCAACAUUCAGAUAAAACACCUGCUCCCACCGAGAACCUUCAAAGCCAAUUUCAUCUGCUUUUGGCCCCUUCAGAGUAGCUGCAAUUGAAGGAUAAAUGCUCCAUGCCAGUUGGUGUUUGUUCAGAGGACACUGGAAGAAGAGGGACAAAGGUGGCUUGGAUGUUGAUCCGCGAGCCUAAGUCUAUGGUUCUCUGAAGCAAAGGUGCCAGUGAAGUUGCCUCAUAAAAAAAAAAACAAAAAACCUUCCAGAAUCUUCCAUUGGAGAAUUGUCACCUGCAAAGACCUCUGAGAGUGGCCAUCAUCUCAAAGAGACCGGGUGAGAAGGUGGCAGGUGCUGAAUGGAAACGCCAACAGACAGAAUUGGAGAGGAGCACUUGGUAGGACGCUUCCUAAAAACCCUGCUUUGCCUCAUCGGUAUGCUGUUCCGGAACAGUUCUGCCUGACGCGGUGCUCCCGCAGGAUGCUCUCCAGGAACAUUCCGGUUAGCCUACCUCAGAAGAGUAACAGCCUGUGCGUGAACCCGUUACCCUCAAGACUUUGCUCUUCUUCCCACAAUACCUUUUGGUGGCCAGUCGACUUCUUCGACUUCCUGUUAGCUUUUCAAAUGGUUGAUUUAGAAACUCAAGUUAUUCUAGCCUUGGUUAUGUGGUCUCAGGAUUCUCACAACUAGUUUUCCUCGUUAUGAAUAUUGAGAAGAGUUUGUUGGCAUGUUGUAUGAUGAGGAAGGAGCCCUGGGAUGGGAGUCCAAAGGUGUUGUAAACUGGGGCGGGGUACUUCAUCUCUCUGAACCUCAGCCUUGUCAACAAGAGGGUGGGUUAAAGUGCUUCUUACUACCAAAUCCUAGAAGUCCUAAGAACUGUGCUCCAGAGGAGAAAACACACAUUGGCAAAUGUGGAUUUAUUCACUCUUCCGCCAUGCGUUUGUAGACUGGUUUGAGAGAGUUCUGAAUUCACCUAGUAAUAACAUUAGCUUAAUUUCAUAUGGAAGGACACAGGUUCCACGGCUUAACCACAAAACUUGUACCCUGGUUGACUUCCACCCUUUCCCUAACAAAGUAGAUGAAUUAAUCCAGACAAUUACUGUCAGGUGAAGGGGCAAGGUUGGAGAUUCUCUGAGAAAUCUGAUGGUUGUACAGAUGAUAGGGUUAAUUUGCAAGACCUCGUAUGGAACACUUUCAUUAUUUCGGUUGCUAUUAUAGUUAGAUAGUGCUGGCUGGGUAGAAAUCUAUUAAUGUUAUAAAGUUUGGGUCAAUUUACCAAUGGAAAGGACAGCACCAUUCUAGGUUUUUUUCCCCCCUCUCUUUCUAGAAACCAUAGCAUUUAGAGAAAUUAUAUGAUGAUAUUGGACAAAUAUAGCCAAACCCAAUCAGCCCAAAAGUAGUGGAAAAGCAAACCAUUAAAACCCUCUCCCAAACAGAAGCCUAUUGGGAAGCAAUGUAUAAAUAGAGGAAAGCUUAUGAAAUGAAAUAGACAGGAUAUAAAAUUUCCAUAUCCUCAAUCCCGCAACAAGGACUUUUCCUACAUAUAUUGCCAUUACCCUGAUAAGAUUGGGAGUUGACCAGUGGCUCUAUGAAUUUAAAGCAAAUGGUGACAAUUAGGUCCUCAGGGUAUACCCUCAUCUUCUUCAUUCACUGCAUAGCCAUUAUUUUGGAGUUUUCAUUUAUAUUUUUAUGUUUAUGGUCCUUGGAGGAGGCUGAAUACUACAUUUUGACGGUGGAAUCUGAAAGAGCUACAAUUCUAGAUUCCGUAAAUACUUCUUGAUCAUAGAAACGCCUUAGUUUUUGGGGCGCCUGGGUGGCUCAGUCUG